rnacentral:rRNA from 1 species
GGGGGGGGGGGGGGGGGGGGGGGGGGGGGGGGGGGGGGGGGGGAGGGGGGGGGGAGGUGGGGGGGGGGGGGGGCGGGGGGCGGGGGGGGGAGGGAGAGAGCGGAAUGGACGGUGUGGUGGGGGAUAACGUAGGGGAAGGUACGCGAGUACCGCGGUCGAGCUACGGGGGAAAGCGGGGGAUCUUCGGACCUGGCGCGAUGGAAGGAGCCGAUGUCGGAGUAGCUAGUUGGCGGGGUAAAGGCCCACCAAGGCGACGAUCCGUAGCUGGUCUGAGAGGAUGCUCAGCCACACUGGAACUGAGACACGGUCCAGACUCCUACGGGAGGCAGCAGUGGGGAAUAUUGGACAAUGGGCGCAAGCCUGAUCCAGCCAUACCGCGUGGGUGAAGAAGGCCUUCGGGUUGUAAAGCCCUUUUGUUGGGAAAGAAAAGCAGCAGGUUCAUACCCCGCUGUUCUGACGGUACCCAAAGAAUAAGCACCGGCUAACUUCGUG